UACGGAGGGUGCAAGCGUUAAUCGGAAUUACUGGGCGUAAAGCGCACGUAGGUGGUUUGGUUAGCUAGCCGUGAAAGCCCCGGGCUCAACCUGGGAAUGGCGAUGGAUACUGGCCAGCUAGAGUGCGGUAGAGGGUAGCGGAAUUUCCGGUGUAGCGGUGAAAUGCGUAGAGAUCGGAAGGAACAUCCGUGGCGAAGGCGGCUACCUGGACGACAACUGACGCUGAGGCGCGAAAGCGUGGGGAGCAAACAGG
rnacentral:rRNA from 1 species